GAUGAACGCUAGCGGCAGGCUUAAUACAUGCAAGUCGAGGGACAGCACAGGUAGCAAUACUGGGUGGUAACCGGCAAACGGGUGCGGAACACGUACACAACCUUCCUUUAAGUGGGGGAUAGCCCAGAGAAAUUUGGAUUAAUACCCCGUAAUAUAGUUGAAUGGCAUCAUUUGAUUAUUAUAGCUACGGCGCUUAAUGAUGGGUGUGCGGCUGAUUAGAUAGUUGGCGGGGUAACGGCCCACCAAGUCUACGAUCAGUAGCUGAUGUGAGGGCAUGAUCAGCCAAACGGGCACUGAGACACGGGCCCGACUCCUACGGGAGGCGGCAGUAAGGAAUAUUGGUCAAUGGACGCAAGUCUGAACCAGCCAUGCCGCGUGAAGGAUUAAGGUCCUCUGGAUUGUAAACUUCUUUUAUUUGGGACGAAAAAGGGCCUUUCUAGGUCAACUGACGGUACCAAAUGAAUAAGCACCGGCUAACUCCGUGCCAGCCGCCGCAGUAACAC
rnacentral:rRNA from 1 species